rnacentral:rRNA from 2 species
AACGCUGGCGGCGUGCGUAACACAUGCAAGUCGAACGAGAAUGUACUGACAGAUCCUUAGGGUGAAGAUAGUACAGGACAGUGGCGGAUGGGUGAGUAACGCGUAAGAAACCUGCCUUUCACACCGGGAUAGCAGCUGGAAACGGCUAUUAAUACCGGAUGACACUUUUUCCCCGCAUGAGGAAGAGGUUAAAGAAUUUCGGUGAAAGAUGGUCUUGCGUCUGAUUAGCUAGUUGGUGGGGUAACGGCCUACCAAGGCGACGAUCAGUAGCCGGCCUGAGAGGGUGUACGGCCACAUUGGGACUGAGACACGGCCCAAACUCCUACGGGAGGCAGCAGUGGGGAAUUUUGCACAAUGGAGGAAACUCUGAUGCAGCGACGCCGCAUGAACGAAGAAGGUCUUCGGAUUGUAAAGUUCUGUCCUGGGUGAAGAUAAUGACGGUAACUCAGGAGGAAGCCCCGGCUAACUACGUGCCAGCCGCCGCGGUAA